rnacentral:rRNA from 1 species
UAGGGAAUCUUCCGCAAUGGGCGAAAGCCUGACGGAGCAACGCCGCGUGAGUGAAGAAGGAUUUCGGUUCGUAAAGCUCUGUUGUUAGGGAAGAAUGAUUGUGUAGUAACUAUACACAGUAGAGACGGUACCUAACCAGAAAGCCACGGCUAACUACGUGCCAGCAGCCGCGGUAAUACGUAGGUGGCAAGCGUUGUCCGGAUUUAUUGGGCGUAAAGCGAGCGCAGGCGGUUAGAUAAGUCUGAAGUUAAAGGCUGUGGCUUAACCAUAGUACGCUUUGGAAACUGUUUAACUUGAGUGCAAGAGGGGAGAGUGGAAUUCCAUGUGUAGCGGUGAAAUGCGUAGAUAUAUGGAGGAACACCGGUGGCGAAAGCGGCUCUCUGGCUUGUAACUGACGCUGAGGCUCGAAAGCGUGGGGAGCAAACAGGAUUAGAUACCCUGGUAGUCCACGCCGUAAACGAUGAGUGCUAGGUGUUAGACCCUUUCCGGGGUUUAGUGCCGCAGCUAACGCAUUAAGCACUCCGCCUGGGGAGUACGACCGCAAGGUUG